AAUNNUUCCANCGGNUNUGUUGCCAAGAGCUUUCCCUUUCGGGGCAGCGGUGACAAGGUGGGUGCAUGGUUGUCGUCAGCUCGUGUCGUGGAGAAUGUUGGGUUAAGUCCCGCAACGAGCGCAACCCUUAUUUCUAGUUGCCAGCAUUCAGUUGGGGCACUCUAGAGAGACUGCCGUCGACAAGACGGAGGAAGGCGGGGAUGACGUCAAAUCAUCAUGCCCCUUAUGACCUGGGCUACACACGUGCUACAAUGGUUGGUACAACGGGAUGCUACCUCGCGAGAGGACGCCAAUCUCUUAAAACCAAUCUCAGUUCGGAUUGUAGGCUGCAACUCGCCUACAUGAAGUCGGAAUCGCUAGUAAUCGCGGAUCAGCAUGCCGCGGUGAAUACGUUCCCGGGCCUUGUACACACCGAAA
rnacentral:rRNA from 1 species